CCGGUGGUCAGAGGCGUCCCGGACGGCGGGGGGAGAGGUGGUAGUCGACGAGCCGACGGCGACCGGUGGUGAUAGGGACUCGGAGGACCGGCCAGGAUACAGAGGAAGGACAGGAUGUCUCCCUCUCCAUUGCUCUUCGGAUGUCUCCUAGCGGUUAUGAUGACCCCAAUUGCCACAUCUGACCUCGAAGACCUCUACCGGCACAACACCAAUGCGUCAUCAGCACAAAAUGAGUCACACAGCCGCGAGAAGCGGUUCAUCGCCUACAACUACGACGAGAAGCGGAUCACGUUCCCUCCGGGCACGGGUUUGUGCUGACGCCGACU